rnacentral:sRNA from 1 species
AGCUCGUCCCAAGCCUGCCUGUCCCCAGCGUGGAGGCGGGACAGUAGAAGACUGGCUGAGGCUGGAGUUUGGAGUUUGACCCGCUCGGAGGCUCUCUCAGCAGUGGGCAUAUAGGAGGAAGGGUCACUGCUGUCUCCGGAAGCUCUUGGCUGCAAAGAGAGAGGAUCCCGGGUGUCUCCCUCCUUACAACCAUCACCACCUCUUAGUGCCUUAGAAGCCACUGACAGCCCCCCAGGGCAGGGAGCCCUGCAUCUGGAAUAAGGUAAGACAGCCCCUGCCCCCAGACAGGUAGCCACUCUCCAAACUGGGAAGUUGGUCUGGGGACAGGUGCUGGCAGAAGGACUCCAGCUGUCACCUGUGGGGCAGGGGAAGCUCAGCCCUCUCUGCAGAGAAAGCUUGUCAUACACCAGGACAAUGGAGUGUGUUCGUGGGGUAGGCAUGGUGGUGUGAAGCCAGCAGCCGGCAGCCAGCAGCACCGUACGUGGGUCCCAGCUCUUCCGCUUAAUCAAGGUCAGGGACAUUGAGCCAAACAUUUUGCCUCACCGAGUCUCAGGUUCCUUAUCUGUCAAUGGGAAU